AUUGUGUAGAGUUCAUGAAUGAGACCCGACUUUAUGUAUAAAAUCCUUCAAACAGACUCUUACAAAGCACUUUUUCAAUACUCUCCUCCAACCUAAUUUGACGGGACAAUAUCAUUAGAUUUGACAUAAAUUUAAAGAACAUAAAGAAAUAAAGAAAUAGAAAUUUGUCGUCUAAAACAAUUUUGAGACCACGUACUGACUCGCGGUUCAGAACUACUGUUUUUUGGCUAGCAAGUAACUAAAUGGAGGUUUACAAUAUUUCCCGUGUAGAAACAUGCUAGCCAUAGUCUUAUACAUGGCUUCGGUAAGAUGAACACCAUCCCAGUUAAUAUACUGAGAUGGAUCCGGACAAGAGCUUGCAGAAGGAGAACCACAAGUACUGAAUAUAUCGAAGUUUAAACUUCCGCCACCAGCGCCACAACAACUUUUGAACACCUCUUUAAAGCCAUUCUUGUUUGGAUUUCUCACAACUGUGCUGUAUGCAUUCCAGUAGUCUGCAUAAACAAUGACAGUUUGUGGGAACUGCUUUCUGAAUGAAUCUAAUUGGGCUUGGAUGAUGCUGUUGUGGAGGAUGCUGUGCUUGUUUGCACUUCCCACACAUCCCAUGGCAUCUCUGUCUGUGUCAGGUGCCAGAUACAUGGACAGUGUUAAGCAACCUGUUGGUGGAAGACCUUGAACAAGUACAUAUUUUGCUCCCUUGUUCAAUAAUGCCUGUAAAAAACCAGUGAAACUUCUGGUAGCAAGCCGUUGAAUCGUGUUGGGUGAAACAGUAGAUGCAAAGCUAUACGCAUAGUCAUUAGCCCCAAUUUCACCCACCCAAAACAGAGCAUCACUAAACAACGCCUCGCACUGCUGCGGCGUCGAUGUAGAAUUCACACAACCUUUGCUCUCUAAAAACCUGUUAAACCACGUGAGCUGCGUUUGAAGCGAUUGUGGAGUCACAUUCAAAGUGAUAUUGUUCUUCACAAAAAAUCUGUGCCUUAUAGCAGUAGAACCAGCUACAGCAAAAUUAACACCAUAAGUUUUAUCCGCUUUCAGAUCUCGAUAAGGCGGUAAAAACGGCAACGACAGUGAUUCCGCUACGAAAUCGAUGACUAAUCGACCGUCGGAGUAUCUGUUUGUUGGAUGGUGAAAAAAUGUGUUGCCGUAAGGUGGAUUUGAUACGUAAUUGAAAGAGCUAGGGCCAGUGGCUGAGUGUGUGUUGCCUGUGUCUGUAUAGGAAUCCCCAAAUGCAUAGAUUUUUUUGAAUUUUUUGGGAGUGAAAGCAGAGGAGAUUAGUGAAGGGGAAAAGAUCAGUGUUAUGGUGAAUAUGAUGAGGGUGAUUUUCAAAGGGAUCACUACUCUAGAGAAAAUAGCCAUGGCCUCACACCUCAUCAUA
rnacentral:misc_RNA from 1 species